rnacentral:rRNA from 1 species
UACGUAGGUGGCAAGCGUUAUCCGGAAUUAUUGGGCGUAAAGCGCGCGCAGGUGGUUUCUUAAGUCUGAUGUGAAAGCCCACGGCUCAACCGUGGAGGGUCAUUGGAAACUGGGAGACUUGAGUGCAGAAGAGGAAAGUGGAAUUCCAUGUGUAGCGGUGAAAUGCGUAGAGAUAUGGAGGAACACCAGUGGCGAAGGCGACUUUCUGGUCUGUAACUGACACUUGGAGGCGCGAAAGCG